AUUUAAAUGAAACUGGACUGAUAUCCAGUUUCCAACUAUUUAAUUGAAACUGGACUGAUAUCCAGUUUCCAACUGUGAGAAGAUUAUUUACUAAUGGUUGAAGUAUUUAGAAAACAUUUUAUAGUUAAAGUUUGUAUGAUUAGAUGAUGACCUUUUUCAAAAUAGUACCUCAUUUAAAAAAUAAGGUUGUUUUUAUUCUGUAUUUUUCACUGUUUUUCUUUUUGUCUUUUUUGUCUUUUUAUUACAGAUUUAAUUGAAACUG